rnacentral:tRNA from 1 species
AGUUAAAUAAGCAAUAAGGAAAGCCUAGUGUCUUGAAAACACUAAGAGAGAAGUUCAAACCUUCUAUUAACUU